rnacentral:rRNA from 1 species
UACGGAGGGAGCUAGCGUUGUUCGGAAUUACUGGGCGUAAAGCGCACGUAGGCGGCGAUUCAAGUCAGAGGUGAAAGCCCGGGGCUCAACCCCGGAACUGCCUUUGAAACUAGAUUGCUAGAAUCCUGGAGAGGUGAGUGGAAUUCCGAGUGUAGAGGUGAAAAUUCGUAGAUAUUCGCAAGAACACCAGUGGCGAAGGCGGCUCACUGGCCCGAUACUGACGCUGAGGUGCGAAAGCGUGGGGAGCAAACAGG